GACGAACGCUGGCGGCGUGCUUAACACAUGCAAGUCGAACGGAAACGCCCUGAUAUCGUGGGCUUCCCGGGUGGCGAACGGGGGAGGGACACGUGAGCAACCUGACCUUCUCUUUUGGGUGGGUUCAGGAAGCUGAGGCUACGACCAGAUAGGAUCUCCCCCUCCGGGGAGAGGAGGGGAACGUUGCAGCUUGUGGGGAUGGACGCGCGGAUGUCGGAUUAGUUAGUUGGCGGGGUAAAGACCCAGCCUGGCGCCGAUACGUAGCUGGUCUGAGAGGCUGAUCAGCCACCCGGGAACUGAGACACGGUCCAGACUCCUACGGGAGGCAGCAGUGGGGAAUAGUGGACAAUGGGCGCAAGCCUGAUCCAGCCAUACCGCGUGGGUGAAGAAGGCCUUCGGGUUGUAAAGCCCUUUUGUUGGGAAAGAAAAGCAGCAGGUUAAUACCCCGCUGUUCUGACGGUACCCAAAGAAUAAGCACCGGCUAACUUCGUG
rnacentral:rRNA from 1 species